UACGUAGGGGGCAAGCGUUGUCCGGAUUUAUUGGGCGUAAAGAGCGUGUAGGCGGCCAGGUAGGUCAGCUGUGAAAACUCGAGGCUUAACCUCGAGACGCCGGCUGAAACCCUCUGGCUAGAGUCCGGAAGAGGAGAGCGGAAUUCCUGGUGUAGCGGUGAAAUGCGCAGAUAUCAGGAAGAACACCCGUGGCGAAAGCGGCUCUCUGGAACGGUACUGACGCUGAGACGCGAAAGCGUGGGGAGCGAACAGG
rnacentral:rRNA from 1 species